ensembl:lncRNA novel transcript, antisense to UQCR10
ACAGUUAAGUGACAAGGACCAGUGUUCCUAUCCAAGGCUUUCUGAUUUCAUAGCCCCCACUCUCAACCAUUAAUACCAACUGUCUACGUGGGAAGCCUUGGGGACCAGAAGCGCCGUCUGAAACUUCAGCCACGGCGUCUAAGGUGUCUAACGUCCUUUUCACGACCGUCGCCUGCUCAAAUCUGCCCUUGAAACUCUGAGAGACAGGGGUCCCGUUUCUGGCCCUGACUUGCCCCUGGCUUCCUGUGCAGCUAAAUUCACAUCAAGCCAAGGGGACAGACGGCGGACUCGAGACAGAAGACGCCGACGGUUUACCCCUUACCCCCUUCCUGGUAAAAGUAUACUGAGUCCCAUCCCACCUCUACUCCACUGUCACCCCUCAGGCGGGUCCAAGGUCAGGGAUGGCACAGGCCCUCACCCCCUCGUUGAUGUGGUCGUAGAUAGCGUCCGCGCCUUGAUCGAAGGCGCGCUCGAAGAACAUGACGCCCACGAUGAUGGUGAGGGCGAAGGUGGAGGUCCUGCGGAACAGCAGGGAGUACAAUUUCGAAGUCAACGUCGCGGCCGCCAUGUUUCUUCACAGUCCAACUCGCGCCACCGCGCCUGCGCUGGGGCCGACCUCGUUCCCCAAAGGCCCUAGACGUGCAACACUUUAUGGGAUUUGUAGUUCCUCUGAAUCUCAGCCUUCGUGUUUUGAACCACAGAGAAUUCCUGGCUGUUAGAAUAUGUCAAACUACAACUCCCAGAAGCCCUCGCGCGCCAUCACCUUCUCCCCGCCCU